rnacentral:lncRNA from 1 species
CAAUCCUAGCAAAAUGAACAAGGCUGAAGGCAUCACACUUCCUGACAUCAAAAUAUACUACAAAGUCAUAGUAAACAAAAGAACAUGGUACUGGCAUAAAAACAGGCACAUAGACCAAUGGAACAGAGUAGAGAAUCCAGAAAUAAAUCCACAUAUUUAUAGCCAACUGAUUUUUGACAAAGGUGCCAACAGCAUUUAGUGGGGAAAUGAAAAUCUCUUCAAUAAAUGGUGCUGGGAAAACUGAAUAUCUAUAUGCUGAAAAACAAGAGUAGACUCUUAUCUCUCACCAUAUACAAAAAUCAAAUGAAAGUGGAUUAAAUACUUAAAUGUAAGACCUUAAACUAUGAAACUACUAGAAGAAAACAUUAGGCCUUUCCGUCUGGUGGCAGCCAUCAGUACCGCCAGCUCUCUGCUCUCCACAGGGCUCCCCGCCCCACCCGGCCUGAUAAAGCGUGCCGACUGGGCUACAAAGCCAAGCAAGGUUACGUUAUAUAUAGGAUUCGUGUUCGCCGUGGUGGCCAAAAACGCCCUGUUCCUAAGGGUGCAACUUACGGCAAGCCUGUCCAUCAUGGUGUUAACCAGCUAAAGUUUGCUCGAAGCCUUCAGUCCGUUGCAGAGGAGUGAGCUGGACGCCACUGUGGGGCUCUGAGAGUCCUGAAUUCUUACUGGGUUGGAGAAGAUUCCACAUACAAAUUUUUUGAGGUUAUCCUCAUUGAUCCAUUCCAUAAAGCUAUCAGAAGAAAUCCUGACACCCAAUGGAUCACCAAACCAGUCCACAAGCACAGGGAGAUGCAUGGGCUGACAUCUGCAGGUCGAAAGAGCCUUGGCCUUGGAAAGGGCCGUAAGUUCCACCACACUAUUGGUGGUUCUCACCGGGCAGCUUGGAGAAGGCGCAAUACUCUCCAGCUCCACCGUUACCGCUAAUAUAAGUAAAGUUUGUAAAAUUCAUACCUAAUAAACAAUUUAGGACAGUCAUGUCUGCUUACAGGUGUUAUUUGUCUGUUAAAACUAGUCUGCAGCUUGUUUCUUGAAUGCUUUGUCAAAUUAAGAAAGUUAAAGUGCAAUAAUGUUUGAAGACAAUAAGUGGUGGUGUAUCUUGUUUCUAAUAAGAUAAACUUUUUUGUCUUUAUCUUAUUAGGGAGUUGUAUGUCAGUGUAUAAAACAUACUGUGGUAUAAUAGGUUUAAAAUAAAUUCUUUAAGAGAAAAAAAAGAGAACAUUAGGGAAAUGAUCUAGGACAUUGAUCUGGACAAAGAUUUUUUUGGGUAAGACCUCAAAAGUAUA